rnacentral:rRNA from 1 species
AUACGGAGGGUGCGAGCGUUAAUCGGAAUUACUGGGCGUAAAGGGUGCGUAGGCGGCUUGAUAAGUCGGAUGUGAAAGCCCCGGGCUUAACCUGGGAAUUGCAUUCGACACUGUCAGGCUUGAGUAUGUCAGAGGUUGGCGGAAUUCCUAGUGUAGCGGUGAAAUGCGUAGAUAUCAGGAGGAACACCAGUGGCGAAGGCGGCUAACUGGGGCAAUACUGACGCUGAGGCACGAAAGCGUGGGGAGCAAACAGGAUUAGAAACCCCAGUAGUCC